UCUCCUGCCUCAGCCUCCCGAAGGCACUGAUGACUCCAUGAUGAGUAAACCAAGUCUAUUGAAUGAAAAUGUCCUGAGCUCCUACUGCAUACCAGAACUGCAUCCUCAGACCAGAUGUUUGUUGGAGUGUCCUGGGAUGUCCAGUCUUGACAGCGGGGCAUUGGGCAAACACGAAUCUGAGCUAAACACCUAAUUCCCCAUAGCAUGAAAAUACUGGAAUUCAAAGAAAACUGGCCAGCCUUGUUCAACAGCCCCCUGGUAAAUAGAACAGAUACUGUGUCAUUUUUAACAACAAAUGGCAUAAAUUAAAUUUGAACCAAAGUGUAUGUGUAAUUGUUGGCUCUUUACAGAAUAAAUGAAAUGCAAGCUGA